GACGAACGCUGGCGGCGUGCUUAACACAUGCAAGUCGAACGGUAAGGCCCUUCGGGGUACACGAGUGGCGAACGGGUGAGUAACACGUGGGUGAUCUGCCCUGCACUUCGGGAUAAGCCUGGGAAACUGGGUCUAAUACCGGAUAGGACCACUGCCUGCAUGGGUGGUGGUGGAAAGCUUUUGCGGUGUGGGAUGGGCCCGCGGCCUAUCAGCUUGUUGGUGGGGUGAUGGCCUACCAAGGCGACGACGGGUAGCCGGCCUGAGAGGGUGACCGGCCACGCUGGGACUGAGAUACGGCCCAGACUCCUACGGGAGGUAGCAGUGGGGAAUAUUGCACAAUGGGCGCAAGCCUGAUGCAGCGACGCCGCGUGAGGGAUGACGGCCUUCGGGUUGUAAACCUCUUUCAGCACCGACGAAGCGCAAGUGACGGUAGGUGCAGAAGAAGGACCGGCCAACUACGUGCCAGCCGCCGCCGUAAAAC
rnacentral:rRNA from 1 species